rnacentral:misc_RNA from 1 species
GAUAAGAACGCAGCGAAAUGCGAUAAGUAAUGUGAAUUGCAGAAUUCAGUGAAUCAUCGAAUCUUUGAACGCACCUUGCACCCUUUGGCAUUCCGAAGGGUAUGCUCGUUUGAGUGUCAUUGUACUCUCACUCUCCCGAUGCUUUUGGAUCGGGAGUGGUGGACUUGGGUGUUGCUGCUUUGCUGUGGCUCGCCUCAAAUGGAGUAGUGCAACUCUUGGUUGGACAUAGUACGGCGUGAUAAGUGUCUUCGCCGGCGCCUCAUUAUAGAGGGUGGCCGAUCGGGAGCUCUGUGCUUCAAACCGUCUUCGGACAACAUCUGACAACUUGACCUCAAAUCGAGUAGGACUACCCGCUGAACUUAAGCAUAUCAAUAAGCGGAGGA